UACGUAGGGGGCAAGCGUUGUCCGGAAUCAUUGGGCGUAAAGAGCGUGUAGGCGGCCAGGUAGGUCCGUUGUGAAAACUCGAGGCUCAACCUCGAGACGUCGGCGGAAACCCUCUGGCUAGAGUCCGGAAGAGGAGAGUGGAAUUCCUGGUGUAGCGGUGAAAUGCGCAGAUAUCAGGAAGAACACGCGUGGCGAAGGCGGCUCUCUGGGACGGUACUGACGCUGAGACGCGAAAGCGUGGGGAGCAAACAGG
rnacentral:rRNA from 1 species